UCGCUACAAUCUGAUUUGACAAAUAAUGGAUUUUUGGGGUUUUUUUAGAGCAAAAUAUAUGCUUACGUGGUUUCAUAUAAAAAUUGAAUACCCGUUAUGUUGUAAAAGGUAACUUUACUAGAGUUUCUAAAUAUUUUAAAAAUACAAUCACAACUUCUGCAUUGAGAGGAAAUUUAUUAUUCAGGCAAGGUAAUUGUAAACCAAUUUCCAUUAGCUGUUUUAAUUUAUAAAUAGUGACAUGUCCAAAGAAAAACUAUAAUAAUAACAGAAUCUAUUAAUUUCCCCCUCGUUUGUUUAAAUCUACUUAAGCAAAAUUUAUUUCAGAAUUGCAAAUCAUAAUGUAUGCAGGUGGCCAGAGGACGGAGAAAUCUGUUCUGUCGCCGGGCGAAUAAUGAAAAUGUGUCAUCUUGGACGAGGACGGCGGACCAACGCCACUCUUCGAGAUCCGGUUUUAUUGGCACAGCUUUGGAGAACCAAUACCAGCAGAUUAAACCACUGUCCUUUUUUCCUCUCCUUGUUUUUAUUAAAGCGCCGCGGCUCAGACCGGACCUGCGUUUUUGCGUGUGAUCGCACGUGCGUCGCAGUAAUCGGCACAUUAUUAUUAUCACACUCUCCUAAAUUAAUUCAUCUCUCCCACUGUACAGUAUGCCGGCGUUUGCAUCAACAAAUGCAAAUCCCAAGUGCCUUAAUGUCCCUGGAUGUUUACAGUGUGAUGACUGAAUGAAGAAACUGUGAUUCAUGUAAUGAAUGCAAUGAAAUAAAGUGCAAACACAUUCAGUCAUCAUAAGGUGCCGAGUGCGUUUGUUUACGUGUUUAUGUGAUUAGAAGCACUAAUAGCUUCAACUCGCUCUCAUGUUUGCUCUUAUUGCUUAAUUUUCAGAUCCAGUUUUUUUUUCACAGGUGAAAACUGACUAGUGUGACACGUUGUGGAAGACUAGUGAUUUUGUUGUUGUAAAUUAACAUUUUUGGACAACAAGUCACAGUCUACCUCAGUGUUUCCCACUCAAACGUCCAUUUUUCCCAUUCAGUUUAUGACUUUUUUCUUCCUCCUAACUGCAUCUAUACAAUUAUAAUCAGCCCCCUGCAUUUGUUAUGUCUGCCUUGAAUGCCCCUGUUUUUAUAAGUAACGUAUGUUUACUGGUGGCUGAGAACAUCUUAAUAACGCUUUCCUCCAUCAGUAGGUGUCUGAAAACGUUUCUCCUCCCACUCCUCCACAAAGAUGAUGAUCGCUUCAGAAACCGACGGAUGAAAGCGCUGCAGCUUCAAAACGCAGCGUGGAAAGUUUAACGAAUAAUCUGAAUGUUUUUCUCUCACAUCCAGCCAACGUUGGGCUGGUUUUCAUGUGGCUCUUCACCCUGGGUGCCACUGUGUUAGGGGAUAACAUGAAAAUCAGAAAAAGUCUUCAGACUCACUUUUGAUGUAGUUUGUCACCAUUAACAACAUAUCAUGGUCAGUUUGUAUUAGUUUAGCUAAUUUGUUAAAAAUUAUUUAGUCAAUAUAAAAACUGAUAAUUCCCAAAACAAGCUUUCACAUGCACGUGUCACUGAUGACAUCACAAAAGGCACACAGCAACAGAUCAGAGUUUAAAACAGUUUUUUUUUUCUUUCUCUUGAGUUUAGACUUAGACCAUAAAUCAAUUUGAUUAAAUAAUCAUAUUUUCUGUGUUUGAAGGUUUAAUUUGUGAAAAAUCAGAGAUUUAAUUCUUGUAAGUUAACUGGCGAUUCCUGUCAGGUUAAGCACACAAACCAGUUAUCCCAGUGAAAUAAAUUUAGAUUCUAAAUGGGACUAAAAAAAGUAAAACCAAAUAAAUGUUCACAACCUGAUUGAAAAAUAUCUAUUUUACUAAUAAUUAAUAAGCUAAUGGCAGGUUUAUCCUGCUUACACAAGAGUGUUAACAUGUGAUAGUAUAAACUAUGAAAUGUCUGAAGGAACAAACAAGUAGAGGUUUAAAACAAGUUUACAAGUAAAACAUGGAAUUUAAGUUUAACUCCUCAAAAUGCUUUAAAAGGUAAACAAAAUGUCAAAAACAUGUAAUAGAAACUUUGUAUCUGUUGUUUCUGAAUGAAAUCGGAAAAAAAAAUGUAGCCAAAUCUUACCUAAUAUUGGUGUCUAAGAAUUUUAAAAAACUAAUAUUGUUGGGAAAAUAAAGGCUAUUUUGUAAAAUUAGUGUUGAAAUAUUGCCCCCUACUGGCAGCUUACGGGUAAGUUUGUGUUUCUGCUUGUAAAAUUGCCAAAUAUAUAUAAAUAUUCCAAAAAAAAGAGAAUAAAAAAGCUUGUUGAUCAGAUAGUCACCAAGUUUCCCGUCUGAUCUGACAUUUUUAUCCGUUGGGAAUGUUGGGAACCACAAACCUGGUUUGAAAUCUCCGACAUAUGAAGGAAAUCUCUGUAAAUCAACAUGUGACUUUUAUAAACUGUCAAGCAUUUUCAAUAAAGAACCAUCAUAAUCUCCAA